rnacentral:rRNA from 1 species
UACAGAGGGGGCGAGCGUUGUUCGGAAUCACUGGGCGUAAAGGGCGCGUAGGCGGCCCGUCAAGUCCCGUGUGAAAGCCCCCGGCUCAACCGGGGAACUGCACGGGAAACUAGCAGGCUUGAGUUCGGGAGAGGGAAGCGGAAUUUCGGGUGUAGCGGUGAAAUGCGCAGAUAUCCGAAGGAACACCGGUGGCGAAGGCGGCUUCCUGGACCGACACUGACGCUGAGGCGCGAAAGCUAGGGGAGCAAACGGG